rnacentral:rRNA from 1 species
AGCAGCCGCGGUAAUUCCAGCUCCAAUAGCGUAUAUUAAAGUUGUUGCAGUUAAAAAGCUCGUAGUUGAAUUUCGGGAUCAAAGAAUCGGUCAUGCCUUGGUAUGUACUGGUUUUAUUGGUUCUCACCUUCUAAAGAACCAUGAUGUCAUUCAUUUGAUGUUAUGGGGAAUUAGGACUGUUACCUUGAAAAAAUUAGAGUGUUUAAAGCAAGCUUACGCUUGAAUACAUUAGCAUGGAAUAAUGAAAUAGGACAUCAGAUUCUAUUUUGUUGGUUUCUAGGAUCGAUGUAAUGAUUAAUAGGGAUAGUUGGGGGCAUUAGUAUUCAAUUGUCAGAGGUGAAAUUCUUGGAUUUAUUGAAGACUAACUACUGCGAAAGCAUUUGCCAAGGAUGUUUUCAUUAAUCAAGAACGAAAGUUAGGGGAUCGAAGACGAUCAGAUACCGUCGUAGUCUUAACCAUAAACUAUGCCGACUAGGGAUCGGAUGAUGUUAAUUUUUUAAUGACUCAUUCGGCACCUUACGG